CGGGCCUGCUGCGCGACAGGCUGUGGGGCUGAGCGCCGGUCGCCAGGUCCUGGCUGGCGGGCGGUGGGGUCGGGGGUCCCCGCUGCGGCCCUUGCAAGCCCUGCCCGGGCCCCGUCCCGGGAAGCGGCCUCUUCGCUCUGCGGGGCUGCGUGGGGAGGCACUGCCUGCCGCGGCGCUGGGAGAAAAGCCCUUCCUGAAGAUACUGACACAAACUUUUUCAUAUGGACGUGGUCCACUAGGUUACUGAAGAAGAGCCAGAUUCUUUCUUAAAGCCCUAAGCAAGAUCAAAAAGCGACAACAGCAAGAAGUGCAUCUUCAAUCUCUCCAAAGACCUUUGGAAGGCUGUCUCAUUAUACCCAAAAUACUGCAAUUGUUCCCUCAAUCUGUGCAAAGGUAAGUACUGAAAACCAGUAACUUUGAAAGACAGAAUUGCAUUAUUUAUUAAAAAAAAAAGAUAAGAGCUACUGCACAAGAAUGUGAAAUGAAAAUACAACUUUAAAGAUAAAAUGUCUAUAUGGUUCACAGAAGCUGUAAUUUAAAUUUUUGGGCAUUGGGAUCAUUCCUUUGUCAAUCAAGUAUUUGAAACAAGUUAGCUGAGAAAUUCUCAGCAAAGAUGUAGCCUUUAUAAACCAACAUGAAACAUUUCACAUUGUCUAUAAUCACAAGGAUUUUAUUUCCUGUGACAGCAAAAUACCAUACCACAUCAAUAAGGUUACUUGAAAAGACCUUUAAAAAUAUCUUGGCAAUAACAUUUGCAGAGUGACUAAAAAAGGGAAAUAAAAACUGGUUGCAGAUCUGAGAUGACAUGAACUUGCAAGUUAAGAAAACCCUACAAAGCCAAUACUUGAACUCGGGAUAGAAACAUCCAGCAUAAAUCCAGCAAUUUUAAGGCCAUUAAGGAGUGUGCAUAAUUAAUUCACAGGCAUCUCACUGUUUACAUUUUGGCAAAUACAGCAUCUUAAAGUGGGAAUAAAAACACAGACUGCUGCUGUCUCACAGCAUUGAGGAGCAGGCCAGGCAGCAGGGGACAGGACUGCUGGGACAGGACAUACCCAGUGUUGUCAGUCAUGCCCCAGUGACAGAUUCUAGCCAGCACCAGUUGCCCGAGUUCAGAAGAAGCCCCCUCAAAUUCACUAUUGGAAAGAGACUUUAUGCAUGCUACAACAUCAUUAGCAGCAUCGUAAAAUAAGCAUAUAGGACCUCACUUUCUUCAGGGAAGUAGACAGACAUAAAUAUGCUUCUUCUGUGGUUUCUGCGGAGAGAUCUCUGUCCUGGCUUCUGGGCUGGCUGAGAAACUGGUCCCAUCAAUAUCUCCUUGUGGUCCUGACCUGAAAAUAGCAAUCCACACUCUGCAGUACAACCACAAAUACUUCACAGUGAUUUAAGCAGCUUUUCUUGUUUUCACCUCAAAACACUGCUGGAAUAUUCCCUAUUUCUUCUCCUUGAUUACUGCUGCUGUCUACCAAUGACUCUCAACAGACAGCUUCCUUGCUGGUCAAGGAAAGACUGAACUAUGGUUUUACUUAGCAAUAUGCCCUGGAAGCAGCACUGGCUCUGGAAGCUUUUGGGAACUUCCCUCCUGUGGUUUGACAAAUUUCAACGAUACAUCAGUCCCACUGCAUUUAGGAGCAUUCAAAAACCUGGGUUAUCUAAGUUUAGCGUGGGUGCUCCGACUGCAGAAAAGCCUCAAAUACCAAUAGGCAAAGCUGCACCAAUUUGAACAUGAACAGAUCUGCCCAGGGGGCUCCAGGGCCCCCCUGGUUAAAGGAGGUUGGUCACCACCCACACAGACUGUGGAGAAACACUUCACCUCCCUGGCCGAAGACAGUCUCCACGGGAAUGCAGAACUUGCCAGGACCUCCUCUCUCACAUAUCCCAAACAUCUCACCUGUGUUCUGCAAGGUUAUGCACUUCCCCUGUACCACAUGACAGAGGACAUGGCAGGCUAAACAUAUAAACAGCUUUUAAAGGAAUGCAAGUAAAUAUCUAGAUGCAAGGUGUUUUAGGAUACACCUACAGCCACCUCCCAUUUUCCCACAAUACAUUCUGUUUCAGACAAGGCCGGAGGCAUCUGAAUGCUACUAGUAAAAAAGGCAAGACAAGCUUCAGGAGAGUUACCAGUGAAGGCCCAGGCUGAUGAAUACAGACUGCCACAUAUAGAUAUAGAAACACACACACUUAAAUUAUAUAUAUUAGUUUUAUCCAUAUUUUUAUAUAUAUGUAUAAAUUAAUUAUACAUAUAUGUGUGUAUAUACAGACACAUAUGCAUGAAUCUCAAUAGUCCCUCUGUUGAGAAACCUAAUACAAAUCUCUGAAAAUAUACAUCAAUUAUUUGGGUGUUUUUAAGUAUAAGCAGUGUAUUCUGACCGGGGUUUUCAUAAAUAUGCAUUAGUCACCCUUGUGGGAAUAACAAUAUAGUUGCGUAAGUUGUAAACUAUAAAUACAGGCUUUAAACAUUCUUUGAACAACAGGUAUAGCCAGUAUGAGUAACUCCCAGGACAAUCAGAAGUGAUUGCAAACAGGAAACCAGACUUGAGCAUAUGGCUCCAAAACACACGCAUUGCUGUAACACACUCAAGUGCACAGGACCUCUCCAGUGCUCCCUGCCCCCCAAAGGUCCUUUUUAAAAGCUUUCUGUAAUUGUGAUGGGAGCAACAAUUGAAACAAUUUAAUGAGGCUUAACAAAGACAGAGAAGAAUAUUUUUGGUAACA